rnacentral:rRNA from 1 species
GAUGAACGCUGGCGGCGUGCUUAACACAUGCAAGUCGAACGAGAAGUGAAGACGGAAACCUUCGGGCGGAAGGCUUUAUUUCGAGUGGCGGACGGGUGAGUAACGCGUGGGUAACCUGCCUCAUACAGGGGGAUAACAGUUGGAAACGACUGUUAAUACCGCAUAAGACCACAGCACCGCAUGGUGCGGGGGUAAAAACUCCGGUGGUAUGAGAUGGACCCGCGUUCGAUUAGCCAGUUGGCGGGGUAACGGCCCACCAAAGCGACGAUCGAUAGCCGAUCUGAGAGGAUGACCGGCCACAUUGGGACUGAGACACGGCCCAAACUCCUACGGGAGGCAGCAGUGGGGAAUAUUGCACAAUGGGGGAAGCCCUGAUGCAGCGACGCCGCGUGAGUGAAGAAGUAUUUCGGUAUGUAAAGCUCUAUCAGCAGGGAAGAAAAUGACGGUACCUGAGGAAGAAGCCCCGGCUAACUACGUG